AAUAUGUCAUGCUUGAGAGCCCUAAAGGAUUUUUGACAACCUCUGGUCCAUCUGGUUUUAUUUUCUAUAAAAGCUUGUAAAACAUCAACCCUGUUGUCCACAGUCAAUCUAUGAAC